GCGAGUGAAGCGGCAAGAGCUCAAAUUUGAAAGCUGGCUCCUUCGGAGUCCGCAUUGUAAUUUGCAGAGGAUGCUUUGGGUGCGGCCCCCGUCUAAGUGCCCUGGAACGGGCCGUCAGAGAGGGUGAGAAUCCCGUCUUGGGCGGGGUGUCCGUGCCCGUGUAAAGCUCCUUCGACGAGUCGAGUUGUUUGGGAAUGCAGCUCUAAAUGGGUGGUAAAUUUCAUCUAAAGCUAAAUACUGGCCGGAGACCGAUAGCGCACAAGUAGAGUGAUCGAAAGAUGAAAAGCACUUUGAAAAGAGAGUUAAACAGCACGUGAAAUUGUUGAAAGGGAAGCGCUUGCGACCAGACUCGCCCGCGGGGUUCAGCCGGCAUUCGUGCCGGUGUACUUCCCCGUGGGCGGGCCA
rnacentral:rRNA from 1 species